rnacentral:lncRNA from 1 species
UUUCCUGGAAAAGACUCAGCCAAUGAAAAGCCCUGGACUGCUUGUUUACCACAGUCCUCCCCACUUUCUUUUCUCCUCUAUAAAAGCAUCCUCCUUCCUUUGCUGUGGGAGGACUUAUAUGUGGCUCACUAUAGUUGCAGACAGAUCCCAAAUUGCAAUUUUCUGCUGAUUCCUAGUAAACCCAUUUUUGCUGGGACACAUCUGGCAGUCUGUUUAUUUCAAAUCAACAGAAGUACAGCCAAAGACAGAGGCCAAUCAACCAGGGUUAGGGAUGUGUGUGCUAGGGGAAGCCAUGACCAAAAUGAGCCUAAUCUUGAGAACUUCUGGAGGUCCUCGAUACCCCUGGCAGUCAGCUCCAGCCACCCCAUUACUGCCUUCCUCUGCCCUUAGCCUCAGCCUCCAUCUCCCCAUCUGGAAAACUGGACAUGCUGCUGCCACAUGGCUGUGUGGUAAAUAAAGAAGGAGAGGAAGUCCUCAAAAAGCAAACUGUACACUAUUAAUCAAGGUGAUUACUGGAACAACCUUCCAAAAGUUAUAAGCUUCCAUUUGAUAAAAAGCCAUUAUCGAUGAACAACCCAUUAUAUAUCAGCCAGCAAAUGUCUUAAACCUUUCAAUGCUCAAUGAAUGAUGGGAUUUUGGUUUUUAAUAAUAAAACUGGAAUUCUCCUGCACUUGAAUGAGUCGUACCUGCCUCUGGGCAGCGUGGCCGUUGGCUGACUUGCAGAAACAGCAGAAAUCUGGGCAGAGCCUUCACUUGGAAAUCCGAGCCCUUCUGAAGUCCAAACCCCAGUCGAGCUCUUAUGAAGUCCAAACCCCAGUUUAACCAGAGGGUGGCACUUACUGUGAAGGGACUUAUCCCUGACCAGGCAGGGGGUGACAGAGAGGCCCUGGUGGCCUAGCAGUUAAGGAUUCAGCAUUGUUACUGCAGUGGCUCAGGUUCAGUCUGUGGCCUGGGAACUUCUGCAUACUAUGGGCGUGGCAAAAAAAUAAAAAAUAAAAAUAGAACUGUUGCAUAAUUCAGCCAUCCCACUUGUGAGUACAUACCCAAAAGAACUGAAAGGGGGUCUCAAAGACAUAUUUGUCCACCCUUGUUCAUAGCAGCAUUACUCACAAUACCAAAAGGUGGAAGCAAUCCAAGUAUCCAACAACAGAGGAAUGGAUAAACAAAAUGUUGGCUAUACAUACAAUGGAAUAUCAUUUACCCUUAAAGGGAAGGAAAUUCUGACACCUGCUACAACAUGGGUGAACCUUGAGGAUGUUAUGCUCAGUGAAACAAGCCAGAUACACAAAGGAAAACUACUAUGUGAUUCCACUUAUAUGAGGUAUUUAGAGUAAUCAAAUUCAUAGGGAUAGAAAGUGGUGUGAUGAUUUGCAGGGAAAGGGCAAUGAGGAGUUAGCGGGUUUUUUGGGUUUGGUUUUGUCUUUUUAGGGCUGCACCCAUGACAUAUGAAGAUUCCCAGGCUAGGGGUCGAAUCGGAGCUGUAGCUGCCAACCUAUACCACAGCCAUAGCAACACAGGAUCCAAGCCACGUCUGCGACCUACACCACAGCUCACAGAAACGGAAGUUAGUGUUUAAUGGACAUAGUGUUUCCAUCUUACAAGAGGAAAACUUAUGGAGAUGGCCAAUCCUUACUGCCCCAUCUCUGACUAGAUCACACUUUGUUUUGCUGUGAUGUGUCUGCUCUUCAGCUCCACAUCCAUCUGGUGCCAAUUUUAUUAAUGGCAGAGUGAGAUCAGAUCAACUUUCCUCCAGGGAAAGAACAAACCCAAGAAACAGGCAACUUGCCAGGACAAAAGAAUAGGAAAAUAAGCCACCAUUGGUUCAGAAGGUGCUGGCUCGGCCCUGUAGCCGGGACCUUCUGAAAUCUACCAUUUGGGGGAAGGGGGAGGGGGUAGGAUGGAAGGAGAACCAGGUUACAAUCCAAAAAAUGUAUGAUCACUGUCCUUCCGGGUUCUAAAUGUUUCUUUCGAUGAGUCACAAAGGUUAGCUGAGAGGCUCUUAAAUUAAAAACCCACAGGGUUUUCCUUUUAUAGACUGUCCUCAGGAGACCUCUCACUGCAUGUUCCCUCUGUCCUCAGCCCCAACUGGCAGCUGCUCUAAGCAUGCAUGUUUACAGAAAUACCAGUAGUUAUUGCAUGUUCCCUUCCAUGUGAUUAAGCAUUGCCAUAAAGCCUGGGCUGGAUUAGAAAUAGAUCUUUCCCUUCUGAGAAAGGCUGAGUGGGGCAAAGCCGGCAGCCAUGGUGUGUGUCUUGUGCCACCUACUGGCCACUCAUGGGAUCACAUAGAAAACGCCCAAAGGGUGGACAGGGCUUGGCAUAUUAUGGUGGUCUGUCCUAAAGAGAAAGAAGAGAAAACACAGUCUGAUCUCACUGCUGCUCAUGGCAUUUCAGCAUUUGGGUUUUGUUUUUGGGGUUUUUUUUUUUUUUUUUUUUGCUGCCCCCAUGGCAUGUGGAGGGUGGAGGUUCCCAGGCCAGGAAUCAAACCCACACCACAGCAGCAACCUGAGCCACUGCAAAGGCAAUGCCAGAUCCUUGAUCCACUGCACCACCACCAGAAAACUCCCGUCUCACCAUAUUUAAAAGCAUGUCUUACUCCAAAGGAGAGCAGCCUCCUGUCUACUGUGAGGCUGGGUAGCAUUGCCUCCUCAUCACAUGAUUGAUUUGACAAGAGCAGGGAGCUUAAUGUAUGGUCAGCCUGCAAGGGCAGCUGGGAGUGAAAUCCAGAUUUUGAGAGAGAAUCAAUUACUUGUUUUAGGUCUCCUUAUCCUCAGAUUUUUCUUGGAGGCCACAGCCUGCCUGCUGCAAAGAUUAAAAAUAACACCCCCAUUAAAAAAAUGAAAAAAUAAUAAUACCCACAUAUCUCUAUUUAGCACUUUUGUCUUUCUAAGCUCUCUGGUAGCUGUUUUCCUGUCAUAUCUCUGUUGCUAACCCUGAAACAGAGGGUUUGGGCUGUUUCCCCCAAAGUCUGAAGCAGAAUCGGGACAGAAAUUCCAUGUGCUGACACCCUUGUCAUAUACACCCUUGGGACUGAGCCACCUGAAAGAAAGAAGCUGGGAUUCAAAGGAAGUUGGAAGCUGGGACUAAUAAAAAGUUCUUGUGAAUGGUCCCCAUCCUGAUAAUUUCCUUUCUCUUUGACUUUAAAACAAAUCUGGGAGCUCAGCAUGUUAAGAACCCAACAUAGUGUCCAAAAGGAUGUAGUUUUGAUCCCUGGCCUUGCCUGAUGGGUUAAGUAUCCGGCAUUGCUGCAAGCUGAAGCAUAGGUCAUAGACGCUACACGGAUCUGAUGUUGCUGUGGCUGUGGUGCAGGCUGGCAGCUGCAACUCUGAUUCAGCCCCUUGCCUGGGAACUUCCAUAUGCCA